UUGCUUACCUGGCAGGGGAAAGACUAUGAUCAUGAAGGUGGUCCAGGGUCAGGCUUAUCCACUGCACUUCGGUGUGCUGACCCCUGCGAUUUCCUCAAAUGUAGGAAACUUGAUUCAUAGUUUGUGGUCUGAGGCACUGUGUUCAUGCUAUCCCCUG